GAAGAGUUCCAUAUCCACUGACACGGUCGUGAAAACUCCGUCCGUCAUCAAACAGUUUCUGGUUCAUCUCCAUGAAGAGCUUCAGAGCAUUGUAGAUCAAGCCAUGAAUGGUCCUGCAAAAGGAACAGGACUGAACUUAUUGAAGGAUUGUGAGCAGUUCCGCCCAGCCCUGAUGAAGUUGGAUAAAGGACAAUGAUCAAUGCCUAAAUUGUUUGGCACUGGAGCAUCUUCAACAAGCAUUUACAGAGCCGUGGCCUAACUGCAACACACUGCCAGUAGCGAUGCUUGAAGCUCAUAGACCAAGCCAACUUAAAUGUGACCCACUCCAGACAAGGUUUCUUUAGCCCUAGCUAGAAGACCAAAAGAAGCAGACGAAAGGGUUCCAUCCUUUCUACCUUCAAGCUGUUAUGACUCACCAUGUGGACCACCUCUGGGUAGAUGGGCUCCGUGAUAACAUUGUGGUUGUGGGUAAUGUACUCCACCAUUUCACUCAGCGUUGCCCGCUUCACCUCCUUCCAUUUCAGGUCACUUAGGGGAUCAGAGACAAAGUCAAAAAGGACACAACACUGCCGCAGCUUCUGUAUGAACAAAUUUUCUUGCUCAGCUGGAGCUACAUCUGAAGAGGGGGGAAAAAAGAAUUGGAUAACCAAUCGUUAAAUUCAAUUCAGUGGAAAUUUCUAGGAAAUAGCAAGGAACAAUCAAUAUGCACAGUUGUGCAAAGUGGCAAUCUUUCCACUCUUUGAUCUCACCAUCAUCUAAACCUUUGGGCAUAAAUAGAUAGAACUAAUAUGUGUGGGAAAAGGAAACUAGAUGUUGUGAUUCACAAAAAAAAUACUUUGGUACAUUCAGAAAUCAGAAGGAUCUACUUAUCUCUAAUUAUGGCAUCAAUACAAUAAUGUGGAUUUAUUGAUUAACCAGACCAUGUUAUAGACAGGACAAAAAUAGCCUAUAUGUUUUUUUUUCUGUGUCCGAUUCAUUACCAUGACCAGUACCAGCAAGAAGAAGGUAAUAGCAUUUUUCACUUGCUCAUACAACAAUGGAACAUGGGGAUGUUUGGGCUGACUCUUAAUACCAAUAACUUGUAUUUAUGUACAAUUGUUUAAGGAAGUGGUGCUGAAUAAACAAAUGUACAAACAAUUUUCUGCCCCUUUGCUAGAAGAAACUACCCAAACUGUACUAAUUUAAGCAUGGUGGUGGUAGCAUCAUGUUCUAGGGCUAUUUUGCUGCUACUGGAACUGGUGCAUUGCACAAAGUGGAUGGAAUAAUGAAGAAGAAAGACUACUUCAGAAUUCUUCAGUAUAACUUUAAACCCUCAGCUGAGAGCAAGUUGAUUUGGAUGGUCAGGAAGAAAGCAGGAACCACCAAGGCAUAGGUCUGCCAUGUUCCAGCUGGAAGCUGCUGGAAAACUGUCUACAUUCAAGGUUUACAUCACCAUGAACUGAGAGGCUAGCAUCCAAGAAAGAAGCCCCUGCUCCAAAAUUGACACCUUCAAUCUCGACUGAAGUUUUCAGCUGACCACAUAGACAAAGAAAAAGCCUUUCAGAGAAAGGUUUUAUGGACAGAUGAGAAAGAUUGAGUUCUUUAGCCACAAUGACCCGAGGUACAGAGGAACACUGUACUAAUUUUAAGCAUGGUGGUGGUAGCAUCAUGUUCUAGGGCUAUUUUGCUGCUACUGGAACUGGUGCAUUGCACAAAGUGGAUGGAAUAAUGAAGAAGAAAGACUACUUCAGAAUUCUUCAGUAUAACUUUAAACCAUCAGAAACUUGGACACAAUUGGGCAUUCCAGCAGGACAAUAUGGCCCCAAACACACAUCAGUACUGGUUGUGAAAUGGAUAAAUCAGGCUAACAUUACACUAAAAGCAAGUCCUGACCUCAGCCCUAUUGAAAAUAUGUGGGCUGUGCAUAAAAGGUUGGUCUGUGCCAGUAAACACACACAUUUUAUCACAUUAGUGAGUUUGUGCGUAGGCGUUGACAGAGACAGUCUUUUACUACAGUUGCUCCAGUCUUUCCAGAGCACCACAGUACAGUAUUCCUGCCUGUGGCCAUCAGACUUUUCAAACUGUCCCUCAGAGGCUCAUAUAUUCACUGUCAUGAGUUGUCUCAGGUCUGUGGCGAGUAUGAAGUUCCACAACCAAAGGUUGCUGGUCUCAGGCUGUGGGUAAGUAGAUUGCCUUCUUCUGUACUUGCAUCCCCCAGUGGCAAAUGGUGCAGCGUGGACUCCUAAGAGACGCAAAUCAUCCACACCCCAUGCCGGAGGGGCGGUCAAAUGUAAGGUCAGUGGGCUGACCCAAGCAGGGACUAACCUAGGCAGGUGGUCAUUGGGUGUCUCUCUGAGGAGUUGAGGGACCCUCAUCCAUCCUAUGUAUGGUAGCCUGCCCAUCACCUUUUCCUAGCUGGCCAUUGGCUUAGGCAUAGGUGUUGUAGCCUUUGCGUGCUGAAGCUCCUCCGCCCAGGCGCUAGGUACCUCCAUAUUUUACUGUCAACCAGGCUGGCAUGCUCAGAACACUGGUGACAGAAGGGACAUGGGACCCCUCCGUGAUUUAUUUAUCCUGUACCAAGGUUCAAUAAUUACAUAAUAUAACUAUUCAGUAGACAAUGGACUACUCAAUUCUACACCUGUGUAAUAAUUCCAUUUUAUUUUUUUCGCGGUGCGGUUUCCAUCAAAUCCUGCACUCUGAUUGGCUGACAAGCGGGUCCGUAUCCUCCGGUACGGACCCCAGUUAUGGACCUCUGGCAACUCGCUCGUUCACAACAACAAACAUAGUAGAAUUUAUCAACAUUAAUCUUUUUUUUAAUAUUUAUAAGAUUAUCAAAAAUCUAAUAAAUUUUUGCCAGCAUUUCUCAGGAGAAUAACAUUAAUUUUAUAUCAUGGAUAGCGAUAAUGACAGUGUUCACAGCGAAAGCGAGUUUUACUACCCUGAGGAAGAAGAAAUAAAAUAAAACAUUUCAGGAGAAAGCCAAAAACCUGUAACUGUUGCUAACGCCGAGCAAAAACAUGGCUGAAUCCUGAAUGACUCCUAUUUGUAUAAAUAGGGGACUGUAUAGGUGUCAAAAUGUGUUUUGUUUUUUGUUUUUUUUUCCUGCCAUGGAAGUGCACUUGUAUACUGAGGAGGAAGCCAUUUGCAUUACAGCCGUGAAUGAGGAUUCAAAACAGCAUUAAUUUUUACAUCAUGGAUAGUGAUAACGACAGUGUUCACAGCGAAAGCGAGUUUUACUACCCUGAGGAAGACAAAAUAAAAGAAAACAUUUCGGGAGAAAGCUAAAAACCUCUAACUUGCUAACGGCAAGCAAAAACAUGGCUGAAUCCUGAAUGACUCAAUUUUGUAUAAAUAGGGGAUUACAUAGGUGGCAAAAUGUAGUUUUUUUCCUGCCAUGGAAGUGCACUUGUAUACCAAGGAGGAAGCAAUUUGCAUUACAGCCGUGAAUGAGGAUUCAAAAUGGCGGCUUGGUUCGGUUUUCCCUUCCGGGCGCUCUCGUUUUCUGUUUGAAUUUGGUAAAGAAAAAAAAUAUAUAUUAUUUACCAGCUUAAGGUCGGUCCGUAUGGUGAAAUACCGUGACCUCGGCCUUGAAUACUGACCUCGGCCCAGAGGGCCUCACUCAGUACUUUCAAGACCUCGGUCACGGUAUUUCACGAUACGGACCUCCCAGCUGGUAAAUAGCAUAUAUGUACUCCAUCCACCCAUCCUGUACCAAGGUUCAAUAAUUACAUAAUAUAACUAUUCAAUACCUCACUCAACAUGCAAUACUAGUGUAAUAACUUCUAUACACCAUAGCCAUUAUUUACUACUUAUGUGCAAUAAUAGUAACAAUAACUGUCUAAUAACUAUUCC